AAAAAGGCCUAAGGGAAUUAAAUUUGUACAUUUAUUAUACCACCUUCAUGAAUGGCAAAAUCAAUGGUUUAUAUUUUAACGUAAUUUGUCAUGAUUUGGGAUAUACAUUUUCGGACACUUUUUCCCCAUUUAAAUCCAGACCGAUUGAUGUUGCGGGAAAAUAUGAUCCCUGCUAUAUACAAAUAAAGAAUCUGCAAAAAUUCUAAAUAUCUACUGUGACCGUGAUCUUGAAGCAAGUGAGAUUGUUUUAGCAUGUGUCAUCAUCAUAAUAUGAUGAUCAUGUUGAAAGUUUAUUUUUUAAAUCCCAUAUUAUUCACAACAAAGUUAUGAGUGGGACACAAAAAUGUACUUUCACUGUACAAACAUACGGAAUAUGCAAAAACUUCAAGUGUCCACUUAGCCUUGAUUUUGAAGCUAGCAAAAUGGUUCAGGUUGUUGAAUGCAACAAUUUGUCUUAAUAUGAUGGUCAUUUGUGCUGAUUUAAUUCCGAAUCUCUUAUUGCAAGACACAAUUGUGAGUUGGUCACAAACCGUAAUUACCGGUACUCAAUACAUAUAAGGAAUAGGCAAAAACUUCAAAGGACCCCAGUGACCUUGAUCUUGAAGCAAGCAACAUGUUUGUUGAAAAGGACACAUUUUAUUGAUAUGAUCAUUUUUGCCAAUCUAUUUCAAAUCAUAUGGUGCAUAAAAACUUUAUUGGUCGAACACAAGCAUGUACCUUCAAUGAAUACAUACAAAGAAUAUGUAAAAACUGCAAGUUUUCACUGGGACCUUGACCUUGAAGAGAGCAACAAGAUUGUUUCACUUAACAUGUCAUGAUGUGAUGAUCAUUGGUGCCAAUUUAUUUUGAAAUUCUAUCAUAAAAAACAAAGUUAUGAGCUGGACAUACGCAACAUUUCCAACAUAACCACUUAAAUGCAUGAACACAUACCGAUGUUACACUAUAGCUUCUGCCAUUUUCAUUUCAGGAACAUAAAUCAAAAUAAAUAUUAUUUUGUAGACUAUCAACUUUACAUCAGUUACAUGUAUCAAAUUAAUAAACUUCACAAAUUAUUAUUAAAUCAAGGGUUAGAACUUUCAAGACAUCUGGGCCUGAUCCAUAUUGAAACAGGUUGCCAUGUUGAGACAAAAUGAGGUGAUUAGACUGGAAAGCUCCAUCAUCCUUCCGUUGAUGGCUUUGCUGAUGAGCAGUUUGGAAGUGAUGACAUCUCCACAUAGUAUCAACAAAUGAGCCAUGUUCUCAGCCAACCACUCUUCAGGAGAACCUUGACAAAACACUUAGAAACUUAUACAAGUCAACCAUUGAUGCAGUAUUUGCAGAGCAUUGGCCAAGCCCCCCAUGUGUUGAGAAGACUGGACAGAAUUCACAGCUGGAGUGUUUUCACUCAGCUCAAACCAUAAUAUCUCAUCUGAAACAACAUCACAAAUGCCACACACACUUGUAAGUGGACACUUGAAGAACCCGAAGUAUCUAAUUUGAGGGAUAUCUAAAGAAGGCAUGGACAGUGGAGAUUAAAUCCGUGACCUCAAAGUCACUAGGCAGAUAUCAAAUCCACUACGCUGUGGCAACCGGUUAAAACCAUACCUUUACUUGUGGACCUGCUUUUGACCAAAGUAUUAAACAUGCCAGUUUAGAUCAAAGUGUGUAUUUUGUGGGAAGUUUUGAUUACUUGAUCUCAAAAUAAAUAGGAGUUCUUCCA